rnacentral:ncRNA from 2 species
AUUUGUCUUCAAGGGGUAGGUUAAAUUCCUCACCGGUGGUAAAGCCCACGAGCCAAAUAUGGCAGAUCAGGUUUGAUUCCUGAGCCGACGGUAUAGUCCGGAUGAAAAGGAAGAUCCCC